AGUGAACGCUGGCGGCAGGCCUAACACAUGCAAGUCGAGCGGCAGCACGGGUAGCAAUACCUGGUGGCGAGCGGCGGACGGGUGAGGAAUACAUCGGAAUCUGCCUUGUUGUGGGGGAUAACGUAGGGAAACUUACGCUAAUACCGCAUAAGACCGAGAGGUGAAAGCGGGGAGUCGAAAGACCUCGCGCGACAAGAUGAGCCGAUGUCGGAUUAGCUAGUUGGCGGGGAAAGGCCCACCAACGGCGACGAUCCGUAGCUGGUCUGAGAGGAUGAUCAGCCACACUGGAACUGAGACACGGUCCAGACUCCUACGGGAGGCAGCAGUGGGGAAUAUUGGACAAUGGGCGCAAGCCUGAUCCAGCCAUGCCGCGUGGGUGAAGAAGGCCUCGGUUGUAAGU
rnacentral:rRNA from 1 species